rnacentral:rRNA from 1 species
GUGGGGAAUCUUGCACAAUGGGCGAAAGCCUGAUGCAGCGACGCCGCGUGGGGGAUGAAGCUUCUCGGAGUGUAAACCCCUUUCGACCGGGACGAAUACCUCGCAAGAAGAGUGACGGUACCGGUAUAAGAAGCCCCGGCUAACUACGUGCCAGCAGCCGCGGUAAUACGUAGGGGGCCAGCGUUUCUCGGAAUUAUUGGGGUGUAAAGGGCUCGUAGGCGGUGUGGCAAGUCGGGAGUGAAAUCUCUGGGCUUAACCCAGGGCCUGCUUCCGAAACUGCUGUGCUAGAGUGUGGGAGAGGCGAGUGGAAUUCCAGGUGUAGCGGUGAAAUGCGUAGAUAUCU